CUUUGUUCUGUGGAUGACAAGCCUGGCCUGAACAAAAUGAUGUUGGAUAUGCUGGAGAAAAGACAGAAGGAUGACCAGGCUAAAUAUGGGCGUGUUGCACUCAUGUUAGAUUCCAUGGCCAUAAGAAAACAUGUGCAAUAUAAUCCGCACAACCAGUCAAUGUCUGGCUUUGUAGACAUUGGUGAUGGAAACAAUGAGACUGAUGUUGCUACUGAGGCGCUUGUGUUCCUGGUGGUUGGCCUUCAAGGACAUUGGAAGGCUCCCAUUGCAUAUUACCUGACGAAGACUCUGUCUCCAGACACACAAAGGGUCCUUCUCACUCAUGCAUUGGAGGAGCUGCAUGCACGGGGUAUUCAGGUGGUAUGUGUCACAAUGGAUGGCCAUGCUACAAACAUCAGCAUGUGCAAUCAACUUGGUUGUGAGCUGAGGGGUAACCCACAAGAGCCACUUAAAACCAGUUUCCCACAUCCGUCGACUGGUGACCAAGUAUUCAUAAUGAUGGACGCAUGCCACAUGCUGUAGUUGGCACGUAAUAUGUUGCAGGUAAAUUAUAAAUGUUGUAUACCUAUUUGUACAAGUUAUGUCUCUGCUACUAAAAGUUGCACAUUUAUUACUGGAUGUGAAGAUCAACAUUGUGCUGUUUGUACUUGUUUGAGCAGUGACCAAUUCUUUCUCUGCAGUCAUACAGUCCGAUUGCAUCUACCAGUGGACAAAUAAAUUGGAGGUACAUCAAUCAGCUCAAUGAUGUGCAAAAAAAAGAUGGACUGCAUGCCACAAAUAAAAUUACAGACAAGCAUGUCCACUUUGAGAACCACAAGAUGAAGGUUUCCCUAGCCGCACAAACACUGAGUCGUUCAGUGUCAGUGGCUCUCCGCACAAAGCGAGAUCUUGGGUACUCUCAGUUCAGAGACUAUGAGGCAACAGCAGAUUUCAUCAAGGUAAUUCCCUAAUAAUUCUGAUUGUAUCAUAGGUUUUUUCCACAAAUUUAAGGUUUUUCGAUAUUUAACUGACAUGACAUUUAUAUGCCAAUAAUUUUUUUUAUAGAUGAUUGAAAGUCUCUUUGACAUUAUGAAUGGACACAAUCCUCGUGUCAAAGGAUUCAAAGCUCCUUUCGAUGCUUUGAAUUUUUUUUUUUUUUUUUAUUUGUGCAGUGUGACAAUACAAGACAUACAACAUACAACAGCAUUUGUGGUUUUGUGUGUGUGUGUGUGUGUGUGUGUGUGUGUGUGUGUGUGGUGUGUGUGUGUGUAUUAUAUAUGUAAAUAAUAAUGAAAAAAUAAAAAAAUAAAAAAAUAAAUAUUACAAUUGUCAGACAAGCAAAAGAAAAUAAUAAUACAAGAACAAUAUCAAUAAUAAUAAUAAUAAUAAUAAUAAGAAGAAGAAGAAGAAGAACAACAACAACAACAACAUUCAAUAUUAAUAAAGAAAAGCAAUAAUAAUAAUAUGGGUGGAGGGGGGGUCUUGAAAUUUGUGGACCACCUCGGGUCCCUUCCCACUCGCGCGAGACCUGCCUGGAUCCCCCCCCCCCAACCCCCGCAUGCCCCGGACUGAAUGCGGCACAACACCUUGCCCUAUUUCUAUAUAUGUAUUUAUUUUGUGUUAUUUACGUAAUAUACUUUAUAAUUAUUUAUUUAUUUUUAUUUUUAUUUUUUAAUUAUUAUUAUUAUUAUUAUUAUUAUUAUUAUUAUUAUUAUUAUUAUUAUCAUCAUUAUUCCCCUUUUUUUUCCCUUUUAAAUUUCUCUCAUAUAUGUGUUUUCUAAUGUUGUGCAUUAAAACCUAGUGUGAUGUGCAAUAAAAAAAGGUGAUGUGCCAUCUGAAGACAGUCCAGGGCGGAGAACUGAGGGAGGGGGGAGGCCGGGAGGGCAAGGAGAUCACAGGUCAUGGCCUAACAGGCGCGACCCAGCAGGGACCCGAGCAGAAAAUAAUAACUGUAAAUGUAAGUAUAUAAAUAAAUAAGUAUAAAUAAUAAUAAUAAUAAUAAUAAUAAUAGACAAUGACAAUAAUAUUCAUCAUAAUUUUUGUAGUAAUAUGUAGUAAAAAACAAUAAUAAUAAUAAUAAUAAUAAUAAUAAUAAUAAUAAUAAUAAUAAUAAAAUAAUAAUAAUAAAUGGAUAAAUAAAUAAAAUAAAAAUAAAAAAUAAAAAAAUGGGAAUGAAAGUGUCAGAGAACUGAGAUGGAUGAUGUUGAAUGAUGUUGUGACUGGUUUGUGGCAGAUUAUAAUUGUAGAAAAGUGAUGAAUGAUAACCAGGUAGAGUUAUGAUUAUUGUCAGAGGAGUUUGUAUUUUCUAAGGAGAUGUAGUCUAUGAGCAGGUUUUUCCAGUGUAUGAUGUGUAUGGAGUUCCGAGACUUCCAGUUCAUGAGGAUAGUUUUCCUGGCGACGGUUAGUGCCACUAGAAGUGAACGUGUGUGUGUUUUGUCAAGUUUUAAUGUAGAUAGGUCUCCUAAUGAACAGAGGGAAGGGGAAAGUGGGAUGUGGCAGCCCAUGAUCUGGGAUAAUGUUUCUGUAAUGUUUCUCCAGAAGUGGUGAACAGGUGUGCAGUGCCAGGUUGCAUGAAUAUAGGUAUCAGUGCAGUUUAGUGAGCAGUGUGAACAGUUUCGAGAUGAUGAGAAGCCCAUUUUUUUGCAUUUUGUGUCCAGUCAGAUGAGUUCUAUGACGGAUUUUGUAUUGUAUGAGUUGUAAAUUGGCAUUUGUCGUCAUGGAGAAAAUGUUCUUGCAGAUUUGGGGCCAGAAGUCAGCAUCAGGAGCAAUGGAGAGGUCAGUUUCCCAUUUUUCUGAAGGUAUGGAGGGUGUUGAAUCGGCCUGUGAUAAUAAUUUGUAUAUUUUAGAUAGAAGUUUCUUUGAGGAAGGGAUGUUAAUGAAUUUAGAGGGUGACGGGGGGAGGUCUAAGUUUAUAUUCUUGUUUUUCAUUGUUGAUUGGAUGGAUGAUGAAACCUGUAGAUAUUGUAAGAAUUGAUGGCUCCUGAUGUCAAACUUCUGGACCAGGAGAGAGAAUGGGAUCAGGGUGUUAUUGUUGAAGAUAUGUUUGAGGUGAGUAAUCCCUUUCUCUACCCAGGUGCUGAAGUAUAGUGAUUGUUUAUUGCUGAUGAAGUCCAGGUUGUGCCAGAUCGGGGUGAAAAGCGAUGGUGCCAAAGUGGAGUUAGUAAUGCUGUAGAAUUUCCACCAGGCUGUCAGGGCCGAUGAUAUUGUGGGGUUUUGGAAACAGGGGUGUUUUUUGAUAGUUUGACUAAGGAAUGGUAAGUCUGAGAGAUGGAUGUUUUUGCUAACUAUUUGUUCUACGUCUAACCAAGUGCUAUCUGACUGGGUGGGGUGGGUCCAUUUGUAGAUGUAUUGAAGUUGAUUUGCUAGUGAGUAAUAAUGAAAAUUUGGAGCAUUGAGUCCGCCUAAACUUUUUGAUUUUUGAAGAGUGGCCAGUUUGAUUUGUGGGGGUUUAUUUUUCCAGUAAAAUUUGUUGAUGGAUGAAUCAAGGGAAUGAAACCAGGUGAGAGGUGUAUAAGUGGGAAUCAUUGAACAAAGGUAACUGAUUUUGGGGAGGAUUGUCAUUUUAACUGUUGCUAUUCUGCCAGUAAUAGAUAAUGGGAGGUUCAUCCAUCGUUGGAGAUCGUCAUUGAUUUUUUUUAGGAGUGGAGUGAAAUUCAGGUUGAUCAACUCUGACAGCCUGGGGGAAAUGUGGAUGCCUAAGUAGGUGAUGUGACUUGUGCAGAAGGGGAUGGGUGUUGUAAGGGCUGCCACAGCCAGACUGUUGGUGUUUAAUGGGAGUAUGGAGGAUUUGUUCCAGUUUUCCAGCAUCGGUGCUUUGAAUUUGAUAGAGAGGAAAGCAUUUUUGUCAAGAGCCAGAGAGCACUUGCUCACUUUGGCGACAAAAGAUGGAACACCCCUCCACCGCCCUAAGAGGUCUUUUAAAAAAGAAAGUUCGAGAAAGUUACUGCAUGAGUUCAUUGAAACAGUUCCAGUUUUUGUUCCAUGCAUCGUGUUCAUAAGAUGCCUCAUUCUGUAUCAGGUUCAUAUGAUACAGUAUAUUUUCUUUUUGUUUUGUCUGCCAACAUGAUGCUCUUUAAUUACAAUGUUUUUCUGUCCAGUUGUAUUUGUCCAAAUUAACGUGUAUUCAGUGUUUUUCAGGUCACAGAUGCAUAUAAAUUUAAUUUUUCCCCCCAACAUCGAGAUUUGUAGGUGUCAAAAAGAGAGCUUGUAUGUACGAGGGAUGUUGUCGUUUUCUGCCACUUACCCGGGUUGCAGGGGCAGCAGCUUCAGGAGGGAGGUCCAGAUCUCCGGUGGGAUCCCCAGAUGUUCCCAAGCCAGGCGAGAGACACAAUCCCUCCACCUGGUCCUGGAUCGGCCACAAGGUCUCCUCCCGGUUGGACAUGUCUGGAACACCUCUUACG